ACGUAAAUUAAACCCAAACUCUCAUUUUGUCAGCUUCUGUGUUCAGCUCGGGCACGGGGCACCCCAUUCUCAUCGAGUCAUCGCCCUCCUCCGUCUCCACCGGCGAGCACUCCCUCCUCCUUCUCCACCGGCGAGCACGCCACUUUCGGGAUAUGUCCCUCCUCCCCAUAAAUACCCCCUAAAUCCUCCAUAGAUUUUCCAAUAAACCAGAAUUUAAUCGAAGUUCGUUGCUGAAUUCGUAAGCUUGGAAGUUUGUUCGGAAAUUGCUCGAUUUUUGUUGAAAUCAGGCUAUAAUUUACCAGCAAAAAGCUUUGGACAUCAAUAAGAGGGAACUGGGACUCAAUCACCCUGACACAAUGAAAAGUUAUGGAGAUUUAGAGGGUUUCUAUUACCGCCUUCAGCAUACAGAGCUGGCUCUUAAGUCUUCCACAACUUCUACUCAUGAUCGGCUUUUUUAUGUUCGAGGAGAGAGAAUAACUCCAACUUAGUUACUAGAGUCCCAGGUGUCUCCACGUAUUAUGGAGCAUGAUCUUGGGCCUGCAGUAUCCUUGAUCUGGAUAUUUUGGACCAUCUAGGUACUAGAUAUUAGUAAUCUCACUCUUGGACAACAGCAACAUAAGAUCUCGUUUCCUCUUGUUUACUUUGGAAGAGUGGAUUAACUAUAGUUUCUAUGGCUUUUGAUGCGGACUGGUUUUCAAAACUCCAAGGGAGGGGCCCUUUACCAAAAAGGAGUUGGAUGAAGUUCGAGGCAAGUGGGCUACUUACUUCAACAAUUGUGAACUACCCUCAGUGUAAUAAAUAGAGAAGACUUGUAGUUAUUCGUGACUCUUACAUUAUUUUGUUAUUUAUCGAUUUAAUUAAUUACAUUUGAAUUAAUUCGGUAAUAUUAUUGGAAAUUUGAAAUUUAUAUCA